rnacentral:rRNA from 1 species
CCCUAGUAUAAAAAAAUAGAGAUUAGUAUAUAGAUGAAAAUUAAAAAUUUUGGCGGUUAAUUAUAAGUUAGAGGAGCUUGUUUAAAAUAAGAUUUUACUCUUUAAAUUUUAAUAUUAAUAUAAGUUUAUUCAUCUCUGUUAUUAAAAACAGUUAAAAUAAAAAUUUUUAGGAUUUCAGGUCAAGAUGUAAUUAGGUUUAAUAUAAUGAAUUAGCUACAAUUAAAAAAAUAUUGGAUAAUAAAAUGUAAAUUUUAUUUAAAAUUGAAUUUAGUGGUAAUAAAAUUUAGAAAGGUAUUAUGAUUUGAAAUUAUUAAUGUA